GCUUCUGCAGUGCAUCUUCUGAAAUUGGAACAAUACAGAAAAGAUUAGCAUGGUGCUUGCGCAAAGAUGACAUACAAAUACUUUUAGAUGCAGGCAUGACUG